GUUGAUAGAAGAUAAAGGAGAGGAACAAUAAUUAUUAAUAAAUUUUAAGCAUCAAAAAAUUCCAAAACUAUUGUGGUGUUGAAAUCCAGUAAAUUUUCUUGUAAAGCUUGGAGCAUUACAAAUGUUUGGUGUUAAUGUAUGAGAGUACUUCACAUGUAAACAAUAUUGAUGAAUUGUCUGCUUAUUUGGGGCCAAAUAAGAAGGAGAGAAAUUUUCUUGGAAAAGAAUCGAAAGCAAUAAAGAUAAGAUAUCAUGACAGAAGAAUGCAGAAGGGUUGCUCAGCUAUUAACUUCGCCUUAUAAUCUUUAUUUGUAUUUCAAUUGUGUUGUAAGAAGUAUUUUUUAAACAGUAAAACUUUC